AGGGCAUCUCCAUCCAUGAAAAAC
rnacentral:snRNA from 1 species